GAAGCGGAUUACCCAGGAUAUCCCAUGAGCAAAGCAGUGCAGGCAGUUACUGGAAAUGAGCUAAGUUAUGAAGCACGUGAGGUUGCAUGCCACGCCAUUGAAAUGUAUGCAGAACGCCUAUAUUUAGGAGCUGAUAAUCUGAAGGUACACUGCUACAGAGCUGCACUAGAGGAGAUUAUCGUAAAAUAUUGGCCAGAAUUAAGUCAUGCGGGUUUGGCGAUCAGUAAACCAUGCACAUGAAAUGGAAUUUCCUGUAUAUGCUAAGGCAGCCACUGCACGUCUAAAUGAUGUUAUAUUGCCAGAAGAGGAUUUAACUAGUGAAAUAACAAACCAUAACUUUCCAGAUGGAUGCAGGUUGUGGUUUAUUACUCCAUGCGAUUGCUACUAGCACCAGUGAUAGAGUCAGUUGUUCUUAUGGACAGGCUGCUUUAUCUCUAUGAGAAAGGAGUGGAAAGCAUCCUUGUGCCAGCAUUUGACCCUCGCCUAUCUCCAAGGAACCAUGUACUUGUAGCUAUAAAA